rnacentral:lncRNA from 13 species
AGGGCAGGCGUGUGCAGGGGAGGUGAGUGCAGGGGAGGCAUGUGAUGGGCAGGCCUGUGCAGGGAAGGCGAGUGUGCAUGGCAGGUGUGUGUAGGGGAGACCUGUGCAGGGCAGGCACGAGCAGGGGAGGUAUGUGCAGGACAGGCGCAUGCAGGCUGCACCACUUCAUCAGCUACAUCAUCCUGGCCCACACUGGAUCUGCCCUCAGAUUCUGGAGCAGCCCCUCCUGGCCACACCCUGUACCAGGCCUGGGACCGCCUGUGGGGAGUGGGGACGGGUGGCUGGGGAGGGCGUGCCUUGGCCCCAAGCCUCAGCAGCAGCCUCCCCACAGGCGUGGCCUCCAUGCUCGUGUCCUUCGUCGUGGGACUGUACUAUAACACCAUCAUCGCCUGGGUCAUGUGGUACUUCUUCAACUCCUUCCAGGAGCCUCUGCCCUGGAGCCAGUGCCCACUCAACGAGAACAAGACAGGGUACGUGGAUGAGUGUGCCAGGAGCUCCCCUGUGGACUACUUCUGGUACCGAGAGACGCUCAACAUCUCCACGUCCAUCAGCGACUCGGGCUCCAUCCAGUGGUGGAUGCUGCUGUGCCUGGCCUGCGCAUGGAGCAUUCUGUACAUGUGCACCAUCCGAGGCAUCGAGACCACCGGGAAGGUAUUGCGUGGUCCCAGCCAGGCUGCAAGUGCUCUGGGGGGCGGGUGCAGGCAGCCCUGCCUCUGCUGGCCUCCCUGCAGAACCCAGCUCUGGGGGGGGUCUCAGGCUCUGUCUUUCCCCAGACCCCACCAACAGCGCUGCCUCUGCCCUGAGGCUCAGCAGCCUGGGUGGGAGGGACCCAGCCUGCCCUGGGUUUCCUGAAAUGCCCAGACUUGGGGCCCCAGGAACUUGGUGCUGGCCCGCUUGACACUCAGCGUUAUGCAGGAGUAAUGAAACUGCUGGAAAGAGUUAGGCAAUGAUGAUGGUGGUGAUAAAACAGGAAGGCUGAAAUGGAAGAGUAAGGCUCCAUCUUCCCUACAUGGGAAUCUUUGCUGGGAUGUCCAGAGUGGCCAGGCCUGUCUCCCGGGGGCCAGCAGCCUU